UUCACAACUUAUUAAAUCACAAUUGGAAGAAAUCAAUUCAUAUCUCAAACAUGUUCAUGGCUUCGAACUUCACCCUAGCUAAGUAAGGGUUUAGUUCCUCAUACUUGCAAUUAAACAAAAACAAUUGAUAUUAAACAUAGAGAAACAAAGUAGAAGACACCUAGAAUGCUCCAACAACUCCAAUGGAAUGGCUAGCACAACUCCAAGCACUCCUCCUUCUUUGCAAGCCUUGGAACUAAUGGAAAUGUGUAUGAAUGGCUGUGUGUCUUCCUUGAAGGCUGAAUGGUGUUUAUAUAGAGGUUGAAAAUGUCAAGCAAUGCAAGGUAAUGGACAAGGCACUCACGGCAAUGGAAGGAUGUGAAGCUGCCAGCUCCAUUUUGCAUGUGUGUGUGCUGUUUUUGUGCUCUUUCCACCUAGAAAUAAUCAUUCCAAAGCCACCCAAAGCUAUAAGUGGGAGACCAACAAGAAAUCCACUUCAUAGUGGUCCAAUUUCCUUGCUUUUUCUGCUGUCCAUUCACUCCCCUUUGCUGAUUCCAUUCUAGUGCCGUGUGUGUUCAUGUGUGUGUGUGUUUGUGUUGUCCUCAUCACUUCCCACUCUUCCAUUCUUUAAUUUCUGAUUCCUUGCUGCCCAUGUGGUGUGUGUUUUGCUGUUUUCUUUCCUUCUUGCUGCCCAUGUGGUGUUUAUACUUGCACAUGCAUGUUCUUCAUCCAUUUAGCUAGCAAUAAACACAUUUUCUGCCAUCACAUGGCAGCUAUGAUGUUUGAAGUUGUAGGCCAACACUUUGCACACACACAUGCAGAUUUCUAGCCCUUUGAAUCAUCAAAUUCGUCCAUCCUCAUGUCUCUAUGUUUGCACCAUCCAAUCUUGGCCCAAAAAUGCUCCAAAGUGCUCCAAAAUGCACCUUCUUGCAUCCUUGGCCCAAAGAACCUACAAACACACAAAAAUGGCUUAAACUACUAACAUAACUAAGAACUAAGAACAUAAAUGCACGAAAACAAACAUACUAAGUCGCAUAAAUAUGCUCCUAUCAGUGACUAAUAAGAAGUAGAAGAUAUAUGAGAGAAGAAAAGGUGCUUCACAUUCGGAACGUGAAUAAAAUAUAGAUAUCUGCGAAAGCAGAUAGUACUUACUUCCUCAUAUGAACUACCAAAGAAAUUGGAAAACCAAAGAUAGUCUUUACAUUCCAAUUUUAAGGAACUUAAUUUCGUCACUAUAGUAGAGAUGGAUGAAUGUUUUGUUUGACAAAACAUUGUUCUUUAUUAAUCAAUGAUUGGAUUAUAGUAAUCUAAUUGAUUGUCUCUAUAGUAGAGAUGAUAUGGUAGUGUUAACUGUUUAGAAUAUAAUGAUGCUUAAAACCCAAAAGGUUGCAAGGUAGUGACUAAUCCCAACUGAGUUUUGAUACCUCUAAAACAUAAAUUACGAGUUGGUCAUAGAUGGAUGCUUUGGAUCAUUAGAUCCGGAUCCAAUACCUUCUUGUUAAAAUUGUAUAGAGGCGAAAUGUUCGAAUCUUUAUUCUUUUGGAAAGAAGAAAGAAUCACAAAGUUGUUGAGGUUAAUUCACUUAGAUGUUAGUGGCACUUGUCCACAACAUAAUACUACUCAUGCAAGAUGACAUUCACCGAUGAUCACUCUCGGUUGGACUAUAGUUUAUUAUGAAUAAACACAAGUCCGAAUACUUUGCAAAAUGUUUCAAAGAAUUCAAGAAAUGUAAGUUGAUGAGUAAGACGUCUAAAGUAUUUACCUCCUUAGAUUUGAUCCAAGGAAAAGUAACACUUUAGAUGAGUUUCCUUGAAAGAUAUCAAGGAGAAUAGCAUCAUAAGAUAAUGAAUUUCUCCAUUAGGAGAAGAACGAACUCGAAUAAGAUUUAGUUCGUUGGAUGUUAUCUAUUACCCAUAUAUAUGUGAUAUAUACUUCUAAGACAAUAUGAUUGUCAAUUAGAAGAUCUUCCAAAAUUUUCAUGACUCCAUAAGAUGUAGUUGGAAAGAAAGACAAAUCUUAAGCAUGUUAAGAUUUGGGGUUGUGUGCUAAUAAGCAAUAUUUGUUUGAUACCAAUCUUGUGGGAUAUCCUUAAAUUAACUUUUGGAUAUCGCUUCUAUAAACCAACUAACAAAUGUUGUUUUGUUGGGUAGUUCAUUGUAAUCCUACAAUGUGAUUUGCCUAAGCGUAAAUGAACGAGAGAUAGAACUCAAAGAAUGGGUUCUUUGAAAGACAAGAUAAUAAUCAACAAAUAUAACAACCUAGUUCCUAUACCAAAAGCUCCAAGGUAGUCGAGAAGGAUUUA
rnacentral:lncRNA from 1 species